rnacentral:lncRNA from 1 species
AUGGACGAGGCCAAAUUCAUCCGUACCUAUAAUGACUUUGUGGACUACCUGAGUGACCCCUCCAAGCGGAAUGACAUUGAGAGGGAGCUGGCUGAGGCAAAGAUCCAUCAUGUGAACAUGAUAGAUGUCCUCUUUGAGCUGGUGCUGUUUGGGAUGAUGACAGCUCAGAAGUCCCUGAUGGUGGUAAGUAGCAUCUCACUGGAACAUGUUUUGAUAUCGCUCUAUUAGCAGUUUCACUUAAAUUCCUCAUCUCUUCUCUCCUCUUUUCUCCUCCUUUGUUUCCUUUAGCACCCUGGUGGGUUCGUGGAGCGUCUGUAUGCUCUCCUGUACUCCUUCCUGCCCACUGCUGCCAACAUGGAGCCAGAGGCUGAUAGAAUCCUACUGCUGCUCAAUGUAAGAGUCAAGAGGUUACUUCCUGUUUACUUCCAUAUUCUUAGUGUACUUCCUUUUGACUUCCUUAUUCAUGGUUAACCAGGUUUCAAUGCCAUUUUAGGGGGAGUAUUUCUAAUUGUCUCUCUCCUCUUGAUAAGCUAGUACCUCAGAGCCAUUUUCUAUGUGUUGUGUGGUGUUCUCUUCAGGGCGGACUGAUGGCUCUGCUAGAUGACAUGUUUGGCCAGCAGCUGGCCUGGUACUUUAACCCAGAGUCUCUGGUCACUGAGCUCUCCAGCCUCCUGGAGUACCACUUGGAGAACCUCAUGGCCAGCAUGUAGUCCUACUGCAGGGACCAUACUCCUUUCUCCUUCUCUCUCUCUUUUGAAGGAAUUGAGGACUUGAAGUGCUUUGUUGAACCCUGAUUAGUUAACACGCAUUAAUUUAAUGUAUUCUCUUGUUUUCUCUCCCCACAGGAUUAUUGUGACACUUUGCCUCCCAACAGGGCUGUAGACACCAAUGAACUACAUUACUUUGCACUGAAUUUGACAUUUUAAAAUAAAAUAAGUUGUAGUUCAAAAACAUUUUUGUUUCUGUCUUUUCAUCUAUUUGAUUUAUGACCAUUUCCUCUUCCUGGAGGUAUAAUGCAUAUAUUAGAAUAUUACAUGAACAAUGAUGCUUUAUUAUCU